rnacentral:rRNA from 1 species
GAUUGAACGCUGGCGGCAUGCCUUACACCUGCAAGUCGAACGGUAACAGGUCUUCGGAUGCUGACGAGUGGCGAACGGGUGAGUAAUACAUCGGAACGUGCCCAGACGUGGGGGAUAACGAGGCGAAAGCUUUGCUAAUACCGCAUACGAUCUAAGGAUGAAAGCAGGGGACCGCAAGGCCUUGUGCGUUUGGAGCGGCCGAUGGCAGAUUAGGUAGUUGGUGGGAUAAAAGCUUACCAAGCCGACGAUCUGUAGCUGGUCUGAGGGGACGACCAGCCACACUGGGACUGAGACACGGCCCAGACUCCUACGGGAGGCAGCAGUGGGGAAUUUUGGACAAUGGGCGAAAGCCUGAUCCAGCAAUGCCGCGUGCAGGAUGAAGGCCUUCGGGUUGUAAACUGCUUUUGUACGGAACGAAAAGGCUCUGGCUAAUACCUGGGGCACAUGACGGUACCGUAAGAAUAAGCACCGGCUAACUACGUG